UGGGGGGACAUAGCACAAGAGAAUUAAUUGAGUUACUAACCAAUGCAACCCAAGAAACAAGAAUUAGACCAAUAAACAAAACAACUGACAACACUUAUUG